UUUAGUGUCCAUAGAGAAGAGGGUAUACCCGACCCCAUUCCGAACUCGGAAGUCAAGCUCUUCUUCGCCGAUGAUACUGCAGUCUUUAUUGUGGGAAAGUAGGACGAUGCUAAAC
rnacentral:rRNA from 1 species